GGCAUUCUGGGAUAAACCCAUUACCUGCCAUGGUUACAAUGUGGUUACAAUGUAUCAUGCUUAGAUCUGUGGCCUGCUGACAUACUAAUAUUUUAUUUCCUCUUUUUACAGUUACGUUCUGACUGACUUCUGAGUGAUAACGAUGCAGUCUUGUAUUGGUGUCAGCUGACAUCACACAGCGAGUUGGCCCACGUUCUCACUCUUCCCAUUUUCCAGAAGCGCUGAGUGCCUCUUGCAAUGAGCACAUGAAGAAGGAAUGAAGUGAAAAGAGUGAAGAACUUGGGGUGGGCAGAUUGAGUCCUGCUUUUGGUACCAGGGAUCGAACUCAGGACCUUGCCCUUGCAAGGCAGGCGGCUGAACCACUGAGCUACAUCCUCGGCUGAGUCCUGCUUUUGAACUUUAGGACAGAAAAUUGGAGCAUCCAUUAGAAAAUUGCUUCCACCCUGAUAUUAUCAGAUUAAAUAAAAUUGGGUUACUGCUACUUAACCUCCCAUGAAUGCACUGAACUAUGAUAUUUAGCAGUCUAGAUUUCAUCCUGUCCAUAAACAGAUCCUAAAAUGCUUUGUCUAAAGCCUACUGCAAACAGGUUUUGUGUAUAAUAUCCUCCGACAGCCUCCAUAUCUAUUUAUGUUAGUAUCUGUGAUAAAGUAUGCUACAAGUUUGUUACAGUCAUUCAUGGUGAACCCAUGCCACAGUUGUGGGGCUGACACCAGCUCCACCCACAUAUUUUUUCCUCUCUCUCUCUGUCUCUUUUUCCUGAGUCAGGGUCUCCCUAUGUAGUUCAGGUGAGCUUUGAACUCAACUUUGUAGCCCAAGAUGGCCU
rnacentral:lncRNA from 1 species